GUUUAGACAUAAGUAUAGUAGGAAAAUAUAAGAAUUUCUUGAUAUUAAAUUUAUGAGACAGUAACACAGGAAUACAACGAUAUCCAGCCACAACCGUGCGCAGCUUUUUGUGCGCCGUAAAUCGAAGGUUUUUAUAAGAGGUGGAUCUGUAGCUCCCUGUUCCGUUAUAAUAUUUUUUCAGACAGCUACAGUUCUGCAGCUAGUGCGUGCCAAUGGAAUGGAACCUAUACCGGCCAAAGUUUGAAGUUUAUUGCGUAUUUCAGAACCUAUAAAAGUAUUCAGAAUAAGGGCAGAACUUUGUAAUUUUAACACUGAUAGAAUAUAACGUCCUCUCAUGAUCCAAUUUGAAUAUCUUAUGAUAUCCUACCCCGAGGACCAGCGCAGUGGACAUAUGUGCACAUAUUAUUCAUUUGUUUAAUGUGAAGAUUGGUUUUCUAGUCAUUACUCAUCUUUACGCUAAGACUGUGGAAAAGAUACGUCAUAAACAGGGUCGAUCUCGCACAACACAUUUUCUGAUGGGCUGUUUCCCCAUAAUGUCCGCGGAAACGAGUUAUUUGGUUAAGUAAGUAAACAAGAAAUAUGAUUUCAAGUCGGAAUGUAAGAUUAAAUUCUUGUGUAGCAUAACAUGUGAAGACCAGGGAAACAGCAGUGACGGACGUAGAGGGGAAGUACCAACUUGCGUCACACACCCUGAUUUUUUUUUAUCCACCUCUAACAGUAUAAGAGCCUAUGAAAAUUAAUAAUUUAUUUCUAAAUUUGGGUGAAUCAUCGCGGUUUUCGUUUAAAUCACGUGACAGGACGGGAGCUCUCUCAAUAUAUAUUUAUAUAGUGUAGCAGGCCCCGCACAUUAAAUUCACUCAUCAUCAUCAGGAAGAGACGGGUGUAUAGACGCCAUGUUGGAUAUUUACAGUAAACUACUCAUGUGACCCCUGACCCCAGAGAUGGACCCGCGUGCUCAGGACGUCCUAGUGUGUGAUUUCUGUAACAUUGAUCCCAUUCAGAGCCACUGUAAACUCUGUUAUAUAAAUCUUUGUGCUGACUGUGUCAGUAAACAUCUCUCAGAUUCCUCUAAAAAACACAAUGUCGUACUCUAUUCAGACAGAAAUUUUACUCCUAAAUACUCAAAAUGUCUGAAACACGCCGACAAAGACUGCGAACUUUAUUGUGAGAAAUGUGGCAUUCCUGUUUGUUCUACCUGCAUCUCCUCCGGUAAACAUAGAGGCCACAAAAUAUUGGAUGUUCUGGAAAAACUCGGCUCUAUAAAACAACAUUUACAAACAGAACUAGUGAUCCUAAUUGUUCGCGAACAAUUAGAGGGCUUCCCACCUUCUAGCGGUUUUUCAGUAGUGUUGAAAUGCUAAAAGCCCCCCCCCCCCCCCCUACCCCAUCCCACCCUCACCCAAACAAAAAAAAAAAAAAAAAAAAAAAAAAAAAAAUUGAUUUGGCUAGAAAAGAAAUUCAAAUUUGCCGCCUAAAUUUGAGUGUUGAGGUGUGUUCAAUGCUUGGUUUCGCAUUAAGUACCCGUCAAAUUUGAGGGAGAAAAGGGGUGUGGGUGUUGGGUAGCCAGCACAUAUGCACAUAUCAGGUAAAAGUGUAAUGGGACUUGUGCAGGUGUUUGGGGUGACUUUAGACCUGUUAGAUGUGAUAUUUGGAGGUGCAAAGAAACCGGAUGUGCCAUUUUCCUAGAUUGUAGUAACUGCUGGUGCAUGCUGGGAGUCUAUACAAACCUCAUGUUGUCAGAUGUUGUGAAGAUGCACUGGAUUUGACCGUGUGUGUUGUGGAUUGUGGAAUUGAAUAUACAGUUUGUAAUGGCUCAUCCUAUGUGUUCUAAUUCACGGAGACAAUGUCUUUCAGUCAUUUCACCCAAGGAGGCAUGCAUAUACGGAUUGAUAGGCUUUGACAACAAACAACCAAAAUGGCGGCCGGUGAAUUAGAAAGUGUCUGAGUGCAUGUAGGAUAUCUGAACGGAGAAUAGGAGUACUGCAUCCCAUCUGAUCCUGCAGGUAAGUGUUUAUUUGUUUACAAUGACAGUCGGGAUGGAAUGUCAAUGAGUUCAACUGUCAAGUAAAGUUGCAUCAUCAUUAUAAAAAAAAAAACAACUUAGUCUUUAUGUUGAUGCAGGCAGACAAUUGAAUCUGGCCUAUGUCUUUUCAUGAAUGUAAAUGGAAUUCAUGUUUGAUUGACAAGACAGUCAAGAAAUGGAAGAAGUGGGUGUAGGUCAGAUGUGUAGGUGUAGGUCAGAUUAGCUAGAAUCCUGUAAUUGUUGCAUGGCAUGAGACCGGUCAAAAUAGUGUAUUGAAACAGCUGAUCACAAUCAGAUCACUUGAAGGGUGGGGGAUUUCUUCCUUGGGGACGACAGGCGUGAUGGGUGGGUUGGCCUUACUCGUGGAGACUGGCCCCUGGAUGCGUGACCUUGACCUUUGACCUUGACCCACUUUCAAGGUCAAACCUCAAAAACACAUGGGGGAGAAAGUGUGACCUUGACCUUUGACCUUGACCUCAUUUUGAAGGUCAGAGAGGUCACGGGGCUUCGUUUAAGUGGUCCCGCAUCCCUAUCUACAUCCGUGAAGAAGUUGUGGGCUCGAACGACGACGUCGGAGACUUUCGGGGGCGAGAACCGUGCUUCGGGGUUCUCGGUUUCCCUCGGUCAACUUUUCUGUGCGAGAGCGUUUCAUCUGGAAUUCGUCGGCGAAGGUCUCGCCUCUCCACGACUUGCGGUCUAGUGAGAGUAGCGAUAACGGGGUUUUCGACGUUAAGUCGCCGCCAUUCGCAGAGUGGUCAAAGUUCAGAGUUGACAUUCGUGAUGCCGAGACCGGUCCAAAAUUCCUUGCUGACCCAUGUGAUAUUUCGAUGCUAUCUGAAGCGUGAAAGAGCGUAUAAAAAGUGCCAUUUUCUGGCCAUUCUGGAUGACCUUGACCUUUGACCUUGACCUACUUUUUCAAGGUCAAGGUCACCCAACCCGUCCCAGUGGGUUCCGUCUCUCUACGACGAAGACUUUAGGAGUCGUCAAUUUGUAGGGGACAAAUCGCAAAACAUGAGGGGGCAUUAACUCCCUUUAGGGGACACCGAAUCCCUUCAUUUGAAAUUCUUCGCUUCUACUAAUUACCCUCUAUGUUUUAGAAAAGGUUUCAUCCUCCUAUCAUUUACGGUUACAAAGUAGAAGUGCUAACAAUGAUUUCUGCGAAAGGUCAAAUAACUCCGUAAGGGGUCAAAGUUCAAUUACGCAGGGUGAACUGUAUUCGUUUCUCAAGAAGUACUAUAUGAUGGACUAUAAAGUUUUUCGAUAAGUCUUAAGACAAAGAUUUUUUUUGACGGCAGGAAAAUAAUAAUAAUAAUAAUAACUAGUGAUCCUAAUUGUUCGCGAACAAUUAGAGGGCUUCCCACCUUCUAGCGGUUUUUCAGUAGUGUUGAAAUGCUAAAAGCCCCCCCCCCCCCCCUACCCCAUCCCACCCUCACCCAAACAAAAAAAAAAAAAAAAAAAAAAAAAAAAAAAUUGAUUUGGCUAGAAAAGAAAUUCAAAUUUGCCGCCUAAAUUUGAGUGUUGAGGUGUGUUCAAUGCUUGGUUUCGCAUUAAGUACCCGUCAAAUUUGAGGGAGAAAAGGGGUGUGGGUGUUGGGUAGCCAGCACAUAUGCACAUAUCAGGUAAAAGUGUAAUGGGACUUGUGCAGGUGUUUGGGGUGACUUUAGACCUGUUAGAUGUGAUAUUUGGAGGUGCAAAGAAACCGGAUGUGCCAUUUUCCUAGAUUGUAGUAACUGCUGGUGCAUGCUGGGAGUCUAUACAAACCUCAUGUUGUCAGAUGUUGUGAAGAUGCACUGGAUUUGACCGUGUGUGUUGUGGAUUGUGGAAUUGAAUAUACAGUUUGUAAUGGCUCAUCCUAUGUGUUCUAAUUCACGGAGACAAUGUCUUUCAGUCAUUUCACCCAAGGAGGCAUGCAUAUACGGAUUGAUAGGCUUUGACAACAAACAACCAAAAUGGCGGCCGGUGAAUUAGAAAGUGUCUGAGUGCAUGUAGGAUAUCUGAACGGAGAAUAGGAGUACUGCAUCCCAUCUGAUCCUGCAGGUAAGUGUUUAUUUGUUUACAAUGACAGUCGGGAUGGAAUGUCAAUGAGUUCAACUGUCAAGUAAAGUUGCAUCAUCAUUAUAAAAAAAAAAACAACUUAGUCUUUAUGUUGAUGCAGGCAGACAAUUGAAUCUGGCCUAUGUCUUUUCAUGAAUGUAAAUGGAAUUCAUGUUUGAUUGACAAGACAGUCAAGAAAUGGAAGAAGUGGGUGUAGGUCAGAUGUGUAGGUGUAGGUCAGAUUAGCUAGAAUCCUGUAAUUGUUGCAUGGCAUGAGACCGGUCAAAAUAGUGUAUUGAAACAGCUGAUCACAAUCAGAUCACUUGAAGGGUGGGGGAUUUCUUCCUUGGGGACGACAGGCGUGAUGGGUGGGUUGGCCUUACUCGUGGAGACUGGCCCCUGGAUGCGUGACCUUGACCUUUGACCUUGACCCACUUUCAAGGUCAAACCUCAAAAACACAUGGGGGAGAAAGUGUGACCUUGACCUUUGACCUUGACCUCAUUUUGAAGGUCAGAGAGGUCACGGGGCUUCGUUUAAGUGGUCCCGCAUCCCUAUCUACAUCCGUGAAGAAGUUGUGGGCUCGAACGACGACGUCGGAGACUUUCGGGGGCGAGAACCGUGCUUCGGGGUUCUCGGUUUCCCUCGGUCAACUUUUCUGUGCGAGAGCGUUUCAUCUGGAAUUCGUCGGCGAAGGUCUCGCCUCUCCACGACUUGCGGUCUAGUGAGAGUAGCGAUAACGGGGUUUUCGACGUUAAGUCGCCGCCAUUCGCAGAGUGGUCAAAGUUCAGAGUUGACAUUCGUGAUGCCGAGACCGGUCCAAAAUUCCUUGCUGACCCAUGUGAUAUUUCGAUGCUAUCUGAAGCGUGAAAGAGCGUAUAAAAAGUGCCAUUUUCUGGCCAUUCUGGAUGACCUUGACCUUUGACCUUGACCUACUUUUUCAAGGUCAAGGUCACCCAACCCGUCCCAGUGGGUUCCGUCUCUCUACGACGAAGACUUUAGGAGUCGUCAAUUUGUAGGGGACAAAUCGCAAAACAUGAGGGGGCAUUAACUCCCUUUAGGGGACACCGAAUCCCUUCAUUUGAAAUUCUUCGCUUCUACUAAUUACCCUCUAUGUUUUAGAAAAGGUUUCAUCCUCCUAUCAUUUACGGUUACAAAGUAGAAGUGCUAACAAUGAUUUCUGCGAAAGGUCAAAUAACUCCGUAAGGGGUCAAAGUUCAAUUACGCAGGGUGAACUGUAUUCGUUUCUCAAGAAGUACUAUAUGAUGGACUAUAAAGUUUUUCGAUAAGUCUUAAGACAAAGAUUUUUUUUGACGGCAGGAAAAUAAUAAUAAUAAUAAUAACUAGUGAUCCUAAUUGUUCGCGAACAAUUAGAGGGCUUCCCACCUUCUAGCGGUUUUUCAGUAGUGUUGAAAUGCUAAAAGCCCCCCCCCCCCCCCUACCCCAUCCCACCCUCACCCAAACAAAAAAAAAAAAAAAAAAAAAAAAAAAAAAAUUGAUUUGGCUAGAAAAGAAAUUCAAAUUUGCCGCCUAAAUUUGAGUGUUGAGGUGUGUUCAAUGCUUGGUUUCGCAUUAAGUACCCGUCAAAUUUGAGGGAGAAAAGGGGUGUGGGUGUUGGGUAGCCAGCACAUAUGCACAUAUCAGGUAAAAGUGUAAUGGGACUUGUGCAGGUGUUUGGGGUGACUUUAGACCUGUUAGAUGUGAUAUUUGGAGGUGCAAAGAAACCGGAUGUGCCAUUUUCCUAGAUUGUAGUAACUGCUGGUGCAUGCUGGGAGUCUAUACAAACCUCAUGUUGUCAGAUGUUGUGAAGAUGCACUGGAUUUGACCGUGUGUGUUGUGGAUUGUGGAAUUGAAUAUACAGUUUGUAAUGGCUCAUCCUAUGUGUUCUAAUUCACGGAGACAAUGUCUUUCAGUCAUUUCACCCAAGGAGGCAUGCAUAUACGGAUUGAUAGGCUUUGACAACAAACAACCAAAAUGGCGGCCGGUGAAUUAGAAAGUGUCUGAGUGCAUGUAGGAUAUCUGAACGGAGAAUAGGAGUACUGCAUCCCAUCUGAUCCUGCAGGUAAGUGUUUAUUUGUUUACAAUGACAGUCGGGAUGGAAUGUCAAUGAGUUCAACUGUCAAGUAAAGUUGCAUCAUCAUUAUAAAAAAAAAAACAACUUAGUCUUUAUGUUGAUGCAGGCAGACAAUUGAAUCUGGCCUAUGUCUUUUCAUGAAUGUAAAUGGAAUUCAUGUUUGAUUGACAAGACAGUCAAGAAAUGGAAGAAGUGGGUGUAGGUCAGAUGUGUAGGUGUAGGUCAGAUUAGCUAGAAUCCUGUAAUUGUUGCAUGGCAUGAGACCGGUCAAAAUAGUGUAUUGAAACAGCUGAUCACAAUCAGAUCACUUGAAGGGUGGGGGAUUUCUUCCUUGGGGACGACAGGCGUGAUGGGUGGGUUGGCCUUACUCGUGGAGACUGGCCCCUGGAUGCGUGACCUUGACCUUUGACCUUGACCCACUUUCAAGGUCAAACCUCAAAAACACAUGGGGGAGAAAGUGUGACCUUGACCUUUGACCUUGACCUCAUUUUGAAGGUCAGAGAGGUCACGGGGCUUCGUUUAAGUGGUCCCGCAUCCCUAUCUACAUCCGUGAAGAAGUUGUGGGCUCGAACGACGACGUCGGAGACUUUCGGGGGCGAGAACCGUGCUUCGGGGUUCUCGGUUUCCCUCGGUCAACUUUUCUGUGCGAGAGCGUUUCAUCUGGAAUUCGUCGGCGAAGGUCUCGCCUCUCCACGACUUGCGGUCUAGUGAGAGUAGCGAUAACGGGGUUUUCGACGUUAAGUCGCCGCCAUUCGCAGAGUGGUCAAAGUUCAGAGUUGACAUUCGUGAUGCCGAGACCGGUCCAAAAUUCCUUGCUGACCCAUGUGAUAUUUCGAUGCUAUCUGAAGCGUGAAAGAGCGUAUAAAAAGUGCCAUUUUCUGGCCAUUCUGGAUGACCUUGACCUUUGACCUUGACCUACUUUUUCAAGGUCAAGGUCACCCAACCCGUCCCAGUGGGUUCCGUCUCUCUACGACGAAGACUUUAGGAGUCGUCAAUUUGUAGGGGACAAAUCGCAAAACAUGAGGGGGCAUUAACUCCCUUUAGGGGACACCGAAUCCCUUCAUUUGAAAUUCUUCGCUUCUACUAAUUACCCUCUAUGUUUUAGAAAAGGUUUCAUCCUCCUAUCAUUUACGGUUACAAAGUAGAAGUGCUAACAAUGAUUUCUGCGAAAGGUCAAAUAACUCCGUAAGGGGUCAAAGUUCAAUUACGCAGGGUGAACUGUAUUCGUUUCUCAAGAAGUACUAUAUGAUGGACUAUAAAGUUUUUCGAUAAGUCUUAAGACAAAGAUUUUUUUUGACGGCAGGAAAAUAAUAAUAAUAAUAAUAACUAGUGAUCCUAAUUGUUCGCGAACAAUUAGAGGGCUUCCCACCUUCUAGCGGUUUUUCAGUAGUGUUGAAAUGCUAAAAGCCCCCCCCCCCCCCCUACCCCAUCCCACCCUCACCCAAACAAAAAAAAAAAAAAAAAAAAAAAAAAAAAAAUUGAUUUGGCUAGAAAAGAAAUUCAAAUUUGCCGCCUAAAUUUGAGUGUUGAGGUGUGUUCAAUGCUUGGUUUCGCAUUAAGUACCCGUCAAAUUUGAGGGAGAAAAGGGGUGUGGGUGUUGGGUAGCCAGCACAUAUGCACAUAUCAGGUAAAAGUGUAAUGGGACUUGUGCAGGUGUUUGGGGUGACUUUAGACCUGUUAGAUGUGAUAUUUGGAGGUGCAAAGAAACCGGAUGUGCCAUUUUCCUAGAUUGUAGUAACUGCUGGUGCAUGCUGGGAGUCUAUACAAACCUCAUGUUGUCAGAUGUUGUGAAGAUGCACUGGAUUUGACCGUGUGUGUUGUGGAUUGUGGAAUUGAAUAUACAGUUUGUAAUGGCUCAUCCUAUGUGUUCUAAUUCACGGAGACAAUGUCUUUCAGUCAUUUCACCCAAGGAGGCAUGCAUAUACGGAUUGAUAGGCUUUGACAACAAACAACCAAAAUGGCGGCCGGUGAAUUAGAAAGUGUCUGAGUGCAUGUAGGAUAUCUGAACGGAGAAUAGGAGUACUGCAUCCCAUCUGAUCCUGCAGGUAAGUGUUUAUUUGUUUACAAUGACAGUCGGGAUGGAAUGUCAAUGAGUUCAACUGUCAAGUAAAGUUGCAUCAUCAUUAUAAAAAAAAAAACAACUUAGUCUUUAUGUUGAUGCAGGCAGACAAUUGAAUCUGGCCUAUGUCUUUUCAUGAAUGUAAAUGGAAUUCAUGUUUGAUUGACAAGACAGUCAAGAAAUGGAAGAAGUGGGUGUAGGUCAGAUGUGUAGGUGUAGGUCAGAUUAGCUAGAAUCCUGUAAUUGUUGCAUGGCAUGAGACCGGUCAAAAUAGUGUAUUGAAACAGCUGAUCACAAUCAGAUCACUUGAAGGGUGGGGGAUUUCUUCCUUGGGGACGACAGGCGUGAUGGGUGGGUUGGCCUUACUCGUGGAGACUGGCCCCUGGAUGCGUGACCUUGACCUUUGACCUUGACCCACUUUCAAGGUCAAACCUCAAAAACACAUGGGGGAGAAAGUGUGACCUUGACCUUUGACCUUGACCUCAUUUUGAAGGUCAGAGAGGUCACGGGGCUUCGUUUAAGUGGUCCCGCAUCCCUAUCUACAUCCGUGAAGAAGUUGUGGGCUCGAACGACGACGUCGGAGACUUUCGGGGGCGAGAACCGUGCUUCGGGGUUCUCGGUUUCCCUCGGUCAACUUUUCUGUGCGAGAGCGUUUCAUCUGGAAUUCGUCGGCGAAGGUCUCGCCUCUCCACGACUUGCGGUCUAGUGAGAGUAGCGAUAACGGGGUUUUCGACGUUAAGUCGCCGCCAUUCGCAGAGUGGUCAAAGUUCAGAGUUGACAUUCGUGAUGCCGAGACCGGUCCAAAAUUCCUUGCUGACCCAUGUGAUAUUUCGAUGCUAUCUGAAGCGUGAAAGAGCGUAUAAAAAGUGCCAUUUUCUGGCCAUUCUGGAUGACCUUGACCUUUGACCUUGACCUACUUUUUCAAGGUCAAGGUCACCCAACCCGUCCCAGUGGGUUCCGUCUCUCUACGACGAAGACUUUAGGAGUCGUCAAUUUGUAGGGGACAAAUCGCAAAACAUGAGGGGGCAUUAACUCCCUUUAGGGGACACCGAAUCCCUUCAUUUGAAAUUCUUCGCUUCUACUAAUUACCCUCUAUGUUUUAGAAAAGGUUUCAUCCUCCUAUCAUUUACGGUUACAAAGUAGAAGUGCUAACAAUGAUUUCUGCGAAAGGUCAAAUAACUCCGUAAGGGGUCAAAGUUCAAUUACGCAGGGUGAACUGUAUUCGUUUCUCAAGAAGUACUAUAUGAUGGACUAUAAAGUUUUUCGAUAAGUCUUAAGACAAAGAUUUUUUUUGACGGCAGGAAAAUAAUAAUAAUAAUAAUAACUAGUGAUCCUAAUUGUUCGCGAACAAUUAGAGGGCUUCCCACCUUCUAGCGGUUUUUCAGUAGUGUUGAAAUGCUAAAAGCCCCCCCCCCCCCCCUACCCCAUCCCACCCUCACCCAAACAAAAAAAAAAAAAAAAAAAAAAAAAAAAAAAUUGAUUUGGCUAGAAAAGAAAUUCAAAUUUGCCGCCUAAAUUUGAGUGUUGAGGUGUGUUCAAUGCUUGGUUUCGCAUUAAGUACCCGUCAAAUUUGAGGGAGAAAAGGGGUGUGGGUGUUGGGUAGCCAGCACAUAUGCACAUAUCAGGUAAAAGUGUAAUGGGACUUGUGCAGGUGUUUGGGGUGACUUUAGACCUGUUAGAUGUGAUAUUUGGAGGUGCAAAGAAACCGGAUGUGCCAUUUUCCUAGAUUGUAGUAACUGCUGGUGCAUGCUGGGAGUCUAUACAAACCUCAUGUUGUCAGAUGUUGUGAAGAUGCACUGGAUUUGACCGUGUGUGUUGUGGAUUGUGGAAUUGAAUAUACAGUUUGUAAUGGCUCAUCCUAUGUGUUCUAAUUCACGGAGACAAUGUCUUUCAGUCAUUUCACCCAAGGAGGCAUGCAUAUACGGAUUGAUAGGCUUUGACAACAAACAACCAAAAUGGCGGCCGGUGAAUUAGAAAGUGUCUGAGUGCAUGUAGGAUAUCUGAACGGAGAAUAGGAGUACUGCAUCCCAUCUGAUCCUGCAGGUAAGUGUUUAUUUGUUUACAAUGACAGUCGGGAUGGAAUGUCAAUGAGUUCAACUGUCAAGUAAAGUUGCAUCAUCAUUAUAAAAAAAAAAACAACUUAGUCUUUAUGUUGAUGCAGGCAGACAAUUGAAUCUGGCCUAUGUCUUUUCAUGAAUGUAAAUGGAAUUCAUGUUUGAUUGACAAGACAGUCAAGAAAUGGAAGAAGUGGGUGUAGGUCAGAUGUGUAGGUGUAGGUCAGAUUAGCUAGAAUCCUGUAAUUGUUGCAUGGCAUGAGACCGGUCAAAAUAGUGUAUUGAAACAGCUGAUCACAAUCAGAUCACUUGAAGGGUGGGGGAUUUCUUCCUUGGGGACGACAGGCGUGAUGGGUGGGUUGGCCUUACUCGUGGAGACUGGCCCCUGGAUGCGUGACCUUGACCUUUGACCUUGACCCACUUUCAAGGUCAAACCUCAAAAACACAUGGGGGAGAAAGUGUGACCUUGACCUUUGACCUUGACCUCAUUUUGAAGGUCAGAGAGGUCACGGGGCUUCGUUUAAGUGGUCCCGCAUCCCUAUCUACAUCCGUGAAGAAGUUGUGGGCUCGAACGACGACGUCGGAGACUUUCGGGGGCGAGAACCGUGCUUCGGGGUUCUCGGUUUCCCUCGGUCAACUUUUCUGUGCGAGAGCGUUUCAUCUGGAAUUCGUCGGCGAAGGUCUCGCCUCUCCACGACUUGCGGUCUAGUGAGAGUAGCGAUAACGGGGUUUUCGACGUUAAGUCGCCGCCAUUCGCAGAGUGGUCAAAGUUCAGAGUUGACAUUCGUGAUGCCGAGACCGGUCCAAAAUUCCUUGCUGACCCAUGUGAUAUUUCGAUGCUAUCUGAAGCGUGAAAGAGCGUAUAAAAAGUGCCAUUUUCUGGCCAUUCUGGAUGACCUUGACCUUUGACCUUGACCUACUUUUUCAAGGUCAAGGUCACCCAACCCGUCCCAGUGGGUUCCGUCUCUCUACGACGAAGACUUUAGGAGUCGUCAAUUUGUAGGGGACAAAUCGCAAAACAUGAGGGGGCAUUAACUCCCUUUAGGGGACACCGAAUCCCUUCAUUUGAAAUUCUUCGCUUCUACUAAUUACCCUCUAUGUUUUAGAAAAGGUUUCAUCCUCCUAUCAUUUACGGUUACAAAGUAGAAGUGCUAACAAUGAUUUCUGCGAAAGGUCAAAUAACUCCGUAAGGGGUCAAAGUUCAAUUACGCAGGGUGAACUGUAUUCGUUUCUCAAGAAGUACUAUAUGAUGGACUAUAAAGUUUUUCGAUAAGUCUUAAGACAAAGAUUUUUUUUGACGGCAGGAAAAUAAUAAUAAUAAUAAUAACUAGUGAUCCUAAUUGUUCGCGAACAAUUAGAGGGCUUCCCACCUUCUAGCGGUUUUUCAGUAGUGUUGAAAUGCUAAAAGCCCCCCCCCCCCCCCUACCCCAUCCCACCCUCACCCAAACAAAAAAAAAAAAAAAAAAAAAAAAAAAAAAAUUGAUUUGGCUAGAAAAGAAAUUCAAAUUUGCCGCCUAAAUUUGAGUGUUGAGGUGUGUUCAAUGCUUGGUUUCGCAUUAAGUACCCGUCAAAUUUGAGGGAGAAAAGGGGUGUGGGUGUUGGGUAGCCAGCACAUAUGCACAUAUCAGGUAAAAGUGUAAUGGGACUUGUGCAGGUGUUUGGGGUGACUUUAGACCUGUUAGAUGUGAUAUUUGGAGGUGCAAAGAAACCGGAUGUGCCAUUUUCCUAGAUUGUAGUAACUGCUGGUGCAUGCUGGGAGUCUAUACAAACCUCAUGUUGUCAGAUGUUGUGAAGAUGCACUGGAUUUGACCGUGUGUGUUGUGGAUUGUGGAAUUGAAUAUACAGUUUGUAAUGGCUCAUCCUAUGUGUUCUAAUUCACGGAGACAAUGUCUUUCAGUCAUUUCACCCAAGGAGGCAUGCAUAUACGGAUUGAUAGGCUUUGACAACAAACAACCAAAAUGGCGGCCGGUGAAUUAGAAAGUGUCUGAGUGCAUGUAGGAUAUCUGAACGGAGAAUAGGAGUACUGCAUCCCAUCUGAUCCUGCAGGUAAGUGUUUAUUUGUUUACAAUGACAGUCGGGAUGGAAUGUCAAUGAGUUCAACUGUCAAGUAAAGUUGCAUCAUCAUUAUAAAAAAAAAAACAACUUAGUCUUUAUGUUGAUGCAGGCAGACAAUUGAAUCUGGCCUAUGUCUUUUCAUGAAUGUAAAUGGAAUUCAUGUUUGAUUGACAAGACAGUCAAGAAAUGGAAGAAGUGGGUGUAGGUCAGAUGUGUAGGUGUAGGUCAGAUUAGCUAGAAUCCUGUAAUUGUUGCAUGGCAUGAGACCGGUCAAAAUAGUGUAUUGAAACAGCUGAUCACAAUCAGAUCACUUGAAGGGUGGGGGAUUUCUUCCUUGGGGACGACAGGCGUGAUGGGUGGGUUGGCCUUACUCGUGGAGACUGGCCCCUGGAUGCGUGACCUUGACCUUUGACCUUGACCCACUUUCAAGGUCAAACCUCAAAAACACAUGGGGGAGAAAGUGUGACCUUGACCUUUGACCUUGACCUCAUUUUGAAGGUCAGAGAGGUCACGGGGCUUCGUUUAAGUGGUCCCGCAUCCCUAUCUACAUCCGUGAAGAAGUUGUGGGCUCGAACGACGACGUCGGAGACUUUCGGGGGCGAGAACCGUGCUUCGGGGUUCUCGGUUUCCCUCGGUCAACUUUUCUGUGCGAGAGCGUUUCAUCUGGAAUUCGUCGGCGAAGGUCUCGCCUCUCCACGACUUGCGGUCUAGUGAGAGUAGCGAUAACGGGGUUUUCGACGUUAAGUCGCCGCCAUUCGCAGAGUGGUCAAAGUUCAGAGUUGACAUUCGUGAUGCCGAGACCGGUCCAAAAUUCCUUGCUGACCCAUGUGAUAUUUCGAUGCUAUCUGAAGCGUGAAAGAGCGUAUAAAAAGUGCCAUUUUCUGGCCAUUCUGGAUGACCUUGACCUUUGACCUUGACCUACUUUUUCAAGGUCAAGGUCACCCAACCCGUCCCAGUGGGUUCCGUCUCUCUACGACGAAGACUUUAGGAGUCGUCAAUUUGUAGGGGACAAAUCGCAAAACAUGAGGGGGCAUUAACUCCCUUUAGGGGACACCGAAUCCCUUCAUUUGAAAUUCUUCGCUUCUACUAAUUACCCUCUAUGUUUUAGAAAAGGUUUCAUCCUCCUAUCAUUUACGGUUACAAAGUAGAAGUGCUAACAAUGAUUUCUGCGAAAGGUCAAAUAACUCCGUAAGGGGUCAAAGUUCAAUUACGCAGGGUGAACUGUAUUCGUUUCUCAAGAAGUACUAUAUGAUGGACUAUAAAGUUUUUCGAUAAGUCUUAAGACAAAGAUUUUUUUUGACGGCAGGAAAAUAAUAAUAAUAAUAAUAACUAGUGAUCCUAAUUGUUCGCGAACAAUUAGAGGGCUUCCCACCUUCUAGCGGUUUUUCAGUAGUGUUGAAAUGCUAAAAGCCCCCCCCCCCCCCCUACCCCAUCCCACCCUCACCCAAACAAAAAAAAAAAAAAAAAAAAAAAAAAAAAAAUUGAUUUGGCUAGAAAAGAAAUUCAAAUUUGCCGCCUAAAUUUGAGUGUUGAGGUGUGUUCAAUGCUUGGUUUCGCAUUAAGUACCCGUCAAAUUUGAGGGAGAAAAGGGGUGUGGGUGUUGGGUAGCCAGCACAUAUGCACAUAUCAGGUAAAAGUGUAAUGGGACUUGUGCAGGUGUUUGGGGUGACUUUAGACCUGUUAGAUGUGAUAUUUGGAGGUGCAAAGAAACCGGAUGUGCCAUUUUCCUAGAUUGUAGUAACUGCUGGUGCAUGCUGGGAGUCUAUACAAACCUCAUGUUGUCAGAUGUUGUGAAGAUGCACUGGAUUUGACCGUGUGUGUUGUGGAUUGUGGAAUUGAAUAUACAGUUUGUAAUGGCUCAUCCUAUGUGUUCUAAUUCACGGAGACAAUGUCUUUCAGUCAUUUCACCCAAGGAGGCAUGCAUAUACGGAUUGAUAGGCUUUGACAACAAACAACCAAAAUGGCGGCCGGUGAAUUAGAAAGUGUCUGAGUGCAUGUAGGAUAUCUGAACGGAGAAUAGGAGUACUGCAUCCCAUCUGAUCCUGCAGGUAAGUGUUUAUUUGUUUACAAUGACAGUCGGGAUGGAAUGUCAAUGAGUUCAACUGUCAAGUAAAGUUGCAUCAUCAUUAUAAAAAAAAAAACAACUUAGUCUUUAUGUUGAUGCAGGCAGACAAUUGAAUCUGGCCUAUGUCUUUUCAUGAAUGUAAAUGGAAUUCAUGUUUGAUUGACAAGACAGUCAAGAAAUGGAAGAAGUGGGUGUAGGUCAGAUGUGUAGGUGUAGGUCAGAUUAGCUAGAAUCCUGUAAUUGUUGCAUGGCAUGAGACCGGUCAAAAUAGUGUAUUGAAACAGCUGAUCACAAUCAGAUCACUUGAAGGGUGGGGGAUUUCUUCCUUGGGGACGACAGGCGUGAUGGGUGGGUUGGCCUUACUCGUGGAGACUGGCCCCUGGAUGCGUGACCUUGACCUUUGACCUUGACCCACUUUCAAGGUCAAACCUCAAAAACACAUGGGGGAGAAAGUGUGACCUUGACCUUUGACCUUGACCUCAUUUUGAAGGUCAGAGAGGUCACGGGGCUUCGUUUAAGUGGUCCCGCAUCCCUAUCUACAUCCGUGAAGAAGUUGUGGGCUCGAACGACGACGUCGGAGACUUUCGGGGGCGAGAACCGUGCUUCGGGGUUCUCGGUUUCCCUCGGUCAACUUUUCUGUGCGAGAGCGUUUCAUCUGGAAUUCGUCGGCGAAGGUCUCGCCUCUCCACGACUUGCGGUCUAGUGAGAGUAGCGAUAACGGGGUUUUCGACGUUAAGUCGCCGCCAUUCGCAGAGUGGUCAAAGUUCAGAGUUGACAUUCGUGAUGCCGAGACCGGUCCAAAAUUCCUUGCUGACCCAUGUGAUAUUUCGAUGCUAUCUGAAGCGUGAAAGAGCGUAUAAAAAGUGCCAUUUUCUGGCCAUUCUGGAUGACCUUGACCUUUGACCUUGACCUACUUUUUCAAGGUCAAGGUCACCCAACCCGUCCCAGUGGGUUCCGUCUCUCUACGACGAAGACUUUAGGAGUCGUCAAUUUGUAGGGGACAAAUCGCAAAACAUGAGGGGGCAUUAACUCCCUUUAGGGGACACCGAAUCCCUUCAUUUGAAAUUCUUCGCUUCUACUAAUUACCCUCUAUGUUUUAGAAAAGGUUUCAUCCUCCUAUCAUUUACGGUUACAAAGUAGAAGUGCUAACAAUGAUUUCUGCGAAAGGUCAAAUAACUCCGUAAGGGGUCAAAGUUCAAUUACGCAGGGUGAACUGUAUUCGUUUCUCAAGAAGUACUAUAUGAUGGACUAUAAAGUUUUUCGAUAAGUCUUAAGACAAAGAUUUUUUUUGACGGCAGGAAAAUAAUAAUAAUAAUAAUAACUAGUGAUCCUAAUUGUUCGCGAACAAUUAGAGGGCUUCCCACCUUCUAGCGGUUUUUCAGUAGUGUUGAAAUGCUAAAAGCCCCCCCCCCCCCCCUACCCCAUCCCACCCUCACCCAAACAAAAAAAAAAAAAAAAAAAAAAAAAAAAAAAUUGAUUUGGCUAGAAAAGAAAUUCAAAUUUGCCGCCUAAAUUUGAGUGUUGAGGUGUGUUCAAUGCUUGGUUUCGCAUUAAGUACCCGUCAAAUUUGAGGGAGAAAAGGGGUGUGGGUGUUGGGUAGCCAGCACAUAUGCACAUAUCAGGUAAAAGUGUAAUGGGACUUGUGCAGGUGUUUGGGGUGACUUUAGACCUGUUAGAUGUGAUAUUUGGAGGUGCAAAGAAACCGGAUGUGCCAUUUUCCUAGAUUGUAGUAACUGCUGGUGCAUGCUGGGAGUCUAUACAAACCUCAUGUUGUCAGAUGUUGUGAAGAUGCACUGGAUUUGACCGUGUGUGUUGUGGAUUGUGGAAUUGAAUAUACAGUUUGUAAUGGCUCAUCCUAUGUGUUCUAAUUCACGGAGACAAUGUCUUUCAGUCAUUUCACCCAAGGAGGCAUGCAUAUACGGAUUGAUAGGCUUUGACAACAAACAACCAAAAUGGCGGCCGGUGAAUUAGAAAGUGUCUGAGUGCAUGUAGGAUAUCUGAACGGAGAAUAGGAGUACUGCAUCCCAUCUGAUCCUGCAGGUAAGUGUUUAUUUGUUUACAAUGACAGUCGGGAUGGAAUGUCAAUGAGUUCAACUGUCAAGUAAAGUUGCAUCAUCAUUAUAAAAAAAAAAACAACUUAGUCUUUAUGUUGAUGCAGGCAGACAAUUGAAUCUGGCCUAUGUCUUUUCAUGAAUGUAAAUGGAAUUCAUGUUUGAUUGACAAGACAGUCAAGAAAUGGAAGAAGUGGGUGUAGGUCAGAUGUGUAGGUGUAGGUCAGAUUAGCUAGAAUCCUGUAAUUGUUGCAUGGCAUGAGACCGGUCAAAAUAGUGUAUUGAAACAGCUGAUCACAAUCAGAUCACUUGAAGGGUGGGGGAUUUCUUCCUUGGGGACGACAGGCGUGAUGGGUGGGUUGGCCUUACUCGUGGAGACUGGCCCCUGGAUGCGUGACCUUGACCUUUGACCUUGACCCACUUUCAAGGUCAAACCUCAAAAACACAUGGGGGAGAAAGUGUGACCUUGACCUUUGACCUUGACCUCAUUUUGAAGGUCAGAGAGGUCACGGGGCUUCGUUUAAGUGGUCCCGCAUCCCUAUCUACAUCCGUGAAGAAGUUGUGGGCUCGAACGACGACGUCGGAGACUUUCGGGGGCGAGAACCGUGCUUCGGGGUUCUCGGUUUCCCUCGGUCAACUUUUCUGUGCGAGAGCGUUUCAUCUGGAAUUCGUCGGCGAAGGUCUCGCCUCUCCACGACUUGCGGUCUAGUGAGAGUAGCGAUAACGGGGUUUUCGACGUUAAGUCGCCGCCAUUCGCAGAGUGGUCAAAGUUCAGAGUUGACAUUCGUGAUGCCGAGACCGGUCCAAAAUUCCUUGCUGACCCAUGUGAUAUUUCGAUGCUAUCUGAAGCGUGAAAGAGCGUAUAAAAAGUGCCAUUUUCUGGCCAUUCUGGAUGACCUUGACCUUUGACCUUGACCUACUUUUUCAAGGUCAAGGUCACCCAACCCGUCCCAGUGGGUUCCGUCUCUCUACGACGAAGACUUUAGGAGUCGUCAAUUUGUAGGGGACAAAUCGCAAAACAUGAGGGGGCAUUAACUCCCUUUAGGGGACACCGAAUCCCUUCAUUUGAAAUUCUUCGCUUCUACUAAUUACCCUCUAUGUUUUAGAAAAGGUUUCAUCCUCCUAUCAUUUACGGUUACAAAGUAGAAGUGCUAACAAUGAUUUCUGCGAAAGGUCAAAUAACUCCGUAAGGGGUCAAAGUUCAAUUACGCAGGGUGAACUGUAUUCGUUUCUCAAGAAGUACUAUAUGAUGGACUAUAAAGUUUUUCGAUAAGUCUUAAGACAAAGAUUUUUUUUGACGGCAGGAAAAUAAUAAUAAUAAUAAUAACUAGUGAUCCUAAUUGUUCGCGAACAAUUAGAGGGCUUCCCACCUUCUAGCGGUUUUUCAGUAGUGUUGAAAUGCUAAAAGCCCCCCCCCCCCCCCUACCCCAUCCCACCCUCACCCAAACAAAAAAAAAAAAAAAAAAAAAAAAAAAAAAAUUGAUUUGGCUAGAAAAGAAAUUCAAAUUUGCCGCCUAAAUUUGAGUGUUGAGGUGUGUUCAAUGCUUGGUUUCGCAUUAAGUACCCGUCAAAUUUGAGGGAGAAAAGGGGUGUGGGUGUUGGGUAGCCAGCACAUAUGCACAUAUCAGGUAAAAGUGUAAUGGGACUUGUGCAGGUGUUUGGGGUGACUUUAGACCUGUUAGAUGUGAUAUUUGGAGGUGCAAAGAAACCGGAUGUGCCAUUUUCCUAGAUUGUAGUAACUGCUGGUGCAUGCUGGGAGUCUAUACAAACCUCAUGUUGUCAGAUGUUGUGAAGAUGCACUGGAUUUGACCGUGUGUGUUGUGGAUUGUGGAAUUGAAUAUACAGUUUGUAAUGGCUCAUCCUAUGUGUUCUAAUUCACGGAGACAAUGUCUUUCAGUCAUUUCACCCAAGGAGGCAUGCAUAUACGGAUUGAUAGGCUUUGACAACAAACAACCAAAAUGGCGGCCGGUGAAUUAGAAAGUGUCUGAGUGCAUGUAGGAUAUCUGAACGGAGAAUAGGAGUACUGCAUCCCAUCUGAUCCUGCAGUCAUAUUUUAGGAUGUGUCCACGAGGUCGGAGAAGACCCUAACUGCCAUAGAGAAAUUGGCAGUGUGGAUAGGUGUCAUGGAGAAACCAACACCGUGUCCUGGGGCAGCGAAACUAUACUCUAUGGUUGUGGAGAUGGCAGGGUGUGUUGCGGUACUGCUAGCUGUACAUAUGGAUGGGUGAUCUACGUGAUUUUAUACAGAAUCACAUUGCUAAUCACCGGCUUCCUUUUGUAACCAUAGAGGAAUAUUUUUCCCAGAAAGGUGCGCACGUUUUAGGGAAGCUUCUAAGACGAAGAAGAAAAGUGAAUGAAGACCCUCGCCCAGUUCCACAACCUCCACCGCCGCCUCCCCAUCCCAGACAGCUCCGCCGCUCAUCUCGACAGAGACUACCCCCAAAUAAGCUGUCGUAUUGACUGUGUUAUUAUAUCGAUUUUCUUGUUUUUGCAUGUAUUAUUGAUAUUACUUUUUUUUUUCCUUUUUAAAAUCAGAAAUGCUGUAAUAUGAAUUCUGUCAUUUCAAAUAGAUUGUGUUAAAAAAAAAUGUUUGCCCUCUCCAGACCGACUAUUUUUUAAAUAUAGUUUUUAGUCGAUCUUAUUAAUAAAAAAUGCUUUCAAAUUAUUUUUUCACACCAAUUUUGAAGUUAAUUUCCCUCUUCCUAUCAACCCAAAGUUUAAACAUUGAGUCAGAUCAGGAGAGGACAAACAAUAUUUUUUUUUUAAAAAGUGGCUCUAAAUUAUCAACCAUUUCCUGUUAUUCUUUUACGAAGAAUAAAAUCUGAAUUUUUGAUUUUUGUCUGUAAUGUU